rnacentral:rRNA from 1 species
GACGAACGCUGGCGGCGUGCUUAACACAUGCAAGUCGAACGGAAAGGCGCCUUUGGGGGUACUCGAGUGGCGAACGGGUGCGUAACACGUGCGUAACCUGCCCUUGACUUCGGGAUAACUUCAGGAAACUGGGGCUAAUACCGGAUAGGAAUCCUUGCUGCAUGGUGGGGGUUGGAAAGCUUCGGCGGUUUUGGAUGGACUCGCGGCUUAUCAGCUUGUUGGUGGGGCAGUGGCUUACCAAGGCUUUGACGGGUAGCCGGCCUGAGAGGGCGACCGGCCACAUUGGGACUGAGAUACGGCCCAGACACCUACGGGAGGCAGCAGUGGGGAAUACUGCACGAUGGGCGGAAGCCGGAUGCAGCAACGCCGCGUGCGGGAUGACGGCCUUCGGAUUGUAAACCGCUUUCAGCAGGGGCGAAGCUUGUGGUGACGGUACCUGCAGAAGAAGCACCGGCUAACUACGUG